rnacentral:rRNA from 1 species
UUGCCAGACUCCUACGGGAGGCAGCAGUGGGGGAUAUUGCACAAUGGGGGGAACCCUGAUGCAGCGACGCCGCGUGGGUGAAGGAGCGUUUCGGCGCGUAAAGCCCUAUCGGCAGGGAAGAAGGAGGACGGUACCCGACUAAGAAGCCCCAGCUAACUACGUGCCAGCAGCCGCGGUAAUACGUAGGGGGCAAGCGUUAUCCGGAUUUACUGGGUGUAAAGGGAGCGUAGACGGCAGAGCAAGUCUGAAGUGAAAGCCCGCGGCCCAACGGCGGGACUGCUUUGGAAACUGCCCGGCUAGAGUGCUGGAGAGGUAAGCGGAAUUCCUAGUGUAGCGGUGAAAUGCGUAGAUAUUAGGAGGAACACCAGUGGCGAAGGCGGCUUACUGGACAGUAACCGACGUUGAGGCUCGAAAGCGUGGGGAGCAAACAGGAUUAGAUACCCCCGUAUA